GGGCCUAUAGCUCAGUUGGUCAGAGCAGCGGACUCAUAAUCCGUUGGUCCCAGGUUCAAGUCCUGGUGGGCCCACCA
rnacentral:tRNA from 6 species